rnacentral:tRNA from 1 species
GCAUCUGUUGCCGAGUGGUCGAAGGCACCGGACUCAUAAUCCGUUUUCUUUAUGAACAUCGCUGGUUCGAACCCAGCCAGAUGCU